rnacentral:rRNA from 1 species
AACGAACGCUGGCGGCAUGCCUAACACAUGCAAGUCGAACGGGACCUUCGGGUCUAGUGGCGCAGGGGUGCGUAACGAGUGGGAACUUGCACUUGGGUUCGGUAUAACUCCCCGAAAGGUGUGCUAAUACCGGUUAAUGUCAUCGGAGCAAAGAGUUAUGGCGGUUGGGUGGGGGCGCGUUGGCUUAGCUGGUUGGUAGUGUAAAAGCCGGCCAAGGCGACGUUGCAUGGCUGGUCGGAGAGGAAGAUCUGCCAGACUGGGACUGAGACACGGCCUAGAACGCGACGGGAGGGAGGAGUGGAGAAUAUUGGAGAAGGAGGGAAGACGUGAUCCAGCAGCGCCGGGGGUGUGAGGAAGGGGUUAGGGUUGUAAAUCUCUUUGAGACGGGAUGAUAAUGACAGUACCGGGAGAAGAAGCACCGGCUAACUACGUG